GAUGAACGCUAGCGACAGGCUUAACACAUGCAAGUCGAGGGGCAGCAUGUUUAUGUUUACUAUAAAUGAUGGCGACCGGCGCACGGGUGAGUAACGCGUAUGUAACCUGCCUCAUACACAGGUAUAGCCCAUGGAAACGUGGAUUAAUCCCUGAUGGUAUUUCGAAGUGGCAUCACUUUGAAUUUAAAUGUUUACAGGUAUGAGAUGGGCAUGCGUCCUAUUAGAUAGUUGGUAAGGUAACGGCUUACCAAGUCAUUGAUAGGUAGGGGUUCUGAGAGGAAGGUCCCCCACACUGGUACUGAGACACGGACCAGACUCCUACGGGAGGCAGCAGUGAGGAAUAUUGGUCAAUGGACGCAAGUCUGAACCAGCCAAGUCGCGUGAGGGAUGACUGCCCUAUGGGUUGUAAACCUCUUUAGUUCGGGAAGAAACGCACUUACGUGUAAGUGUUUGCCUGUACCGAAAGAAUAAGCAUCGGCUAACUCCGUGCCAGCAGCCGCGGUAAUACGGGGAAUGCGAGCGUUAUCCGGAUUUAUUGGGUUUAAAGGGUGCGUAGGCGGUAUAAUAAGUUAGUGGUUAAAAUUCCAUGCUCAACAUGGUCGUGCCAUUAAAACUGUUUUACUCGAGUACAGUCGAGGUAGGCGGAAUAAGUUAAGUAGCGGUGAAAUGCUUAGAUAUAACUUAGAACU
rnacentral:rRNA from 1 species